rnacentral:lncRNA from 1 species
CGGCUUAGGUUUCAAGGUUUAGGGUUUACGACUUAGGGUUUAGGGUUUAGGUUUAGAGUUUAGGGUUUAGGGCUUAGGUUUAGGGUUUAGUGUAUAUCAUUUGCUAAUAAUUAAAUAUAACAUAAUUGUACCACUAAUUUAAAACACUAAUUGUACCACUAAUUAUAGCACUAAUUGUACCACUAAUAGAUCCAUCUCGACAUACCGGUAGUUUGAAGGCGGUGAGACGGCGGAGAGACGGCGGUCGGUGUGGAGACUCGACGGGGACUUCGGUGACGAUGGCAGAGAGAUGUCGAUCUCGAAGAAGGAAGAAAUAGGGAACAAAUAUUAUAUCACAUUUCUAGAUUUAUAAGAAAUGCGGCGGUUAGGGCUAGAUCGGGCGCGGUGGGGAAGGAGAAGAAAGGGCUCUGCCCUUUAUAGGGCAGAGGCAAUAUUCUAGAUUUAUAAGAAAUUGGUACUAUAAUAUACAUGAAAAUAAAUAAAUAUAUAAUGUAAUACAAAUAAUAACUAGAGCGAAGCAUAAGAAAAAAAAUAAAUACAUGUAACUAAGAAAAAAAUUUAAAGAACAUCGUAUAUAUAUUACGUGAACAUCCCUAUAGUUAUUUCUUUGUUUAUUCAUAUUUUUUUUCAUUUUUUUCAUUUUCAUUUCUCAGACCUUGUUUAGUUUGCAAAAAUUACAGUUUUUCAUUUUUAUUUGACAAACAUUGUCCAAUUAUGAAAUAAUUAGGCUCAAAAGAUUCAUCUUACAAAUUACAGGUAAACAGUGCAAUUAGUUUUUAUUUUCGUCUAUUUGCAAAAUAGGAAUAGUAUAAUUUCAUUUGUAUUUAACAAAUAUUAUCCAAUCAUGUACUAAUUAGACUCAAAAGAUUCGUCUCAUCAAUUCCGACCAAAUUGUGCAAUUAGUUUUUAUUUUUGUCUAUACUUAAUAGUUCAUGCAUGCGUCUAAAGAUUUAAUGUGAAGGAGAAUUAAAAAAUUUUACAAAUUUUAUUAGGAACUAAACAAGGCCGCAGCGC